AUAAAAUUCAUGUAAACAAGAAUUGUUUUGAGGUUCAUUGCUGUUUCUACAACAUGUAGACCUAUGUCUAAAACAGAAAGGUACUUAACAAACAUCUGUUCAAUAAAUGAAUGAAUGAAGGACCCUGGAAAAAUCUCUUGUAUCAGAAAACCUAAUUUAAAAAUAAAAGUAAUGAAUUUAUUUUCAUGGCAAAACUUUCAGCAUGGCUAGAGAAAAUAUAGAAAUAGUGAUUAUACAGAGUUCAAAGAGCACUGUUUGAGUCUUCACAGCCAAGUGCCAUGAAGACCAUACAGAUGAGAGGUUACCAGAGACUGUUUAUAAAUACUACCUGUAGGAAGCUUACAAUUGAGUAAAGGCAGCAGUGCACUGAAGGGAGAAGAACAUAUACAAAUAUGACCUAGACUAUAAUCCUAUAAUGAGAGAAGUCAGACUAAAUGCUGUGAUUUCAUUCUUUAGAAAACUGGAUCUCAUAACAUGUGACAUGAUGAAGUGACUUUUGUUUACGCACCAGAGUUGAAAAAAAAGUCCAUGACAUUUGGGUCAUAUUUUGAAUAUCAAUUAAAUGAUCUAGAAGAUUGACAUGAAAAUACAAAUUUAUAAAAAUCCAUUAUUAGGAGUUUUUAGGUUUGGGAGAAGACAAAAAUGCAAUGAAUCAUUACAAGAGCAAUAACUAUUAUAGUAUUGAAUGUAUGUACAGAACAUGGGAGAAAGGAGCAAUCAAUUAGAAUUGCCUGAUACAUAGAAGAUUACAGAGAAAUGGCAUUUGUACCAGCUAAUGGAGGGUUGCCAGAGGCAGUUUGGUGUAGAUGCCGUCCCAUCUAUCACUAACCAGGUACGUGAUUUUACCACAGAAUCAGAGUCCAAAGAAACAGAUGAGUUCUUUCAGCACAUAUCUACUUCUCUCUUACCCUCAGUUUAGUGACUUAUGCUCUGUCAGAAAAAGGGGAGGAAGUUGUCUCCUCCUGAAAGUAACUUCUGCAUAAAAGUUUGCCUCCUUUUGAAGCUUGCUCUCAUUUUUUUACAGCAUGAAUGGUGCUCAUAGCUGACAUCCAUGCUUCUAUAGACCCAGAGUCUGUGAAGUCAGACCUUUUUGCAUCUGCAAUCAGGAUGUGUCACCCUGAGAAUAAUCUGUCUUAACAAUGAAACACAAGGCUUUUCACUGUCUCUCAGGGAGAGCUGCCCCACCAAGUUUGGGAUCAGGUAUUUUGGCUCAUGGAAGACAAAGCAUUUCCACUUCCAUGGUUACAACAAGAUUGUAUUUGUUCAAAUAGGAAAAUAUCAAAUAUUCAAAAAGUGAGUGUGGCAGACUCAUGUAGAUGUCUCCAAUAUCUAUAUCCUUUUUAAAUUUAUUAAUAGAACCUCCAAAUUACAGCUGCCCAAAACAAAGGCAACAUUUUCUAAUUUCUCCUGCAGUUUAAAGUGGUUCGGUGAUCAAAAAGGCCAAAGAGAGAUAAAGUGAACAACUUCUAAAUAGUGUUUUGAAAGGAAGGGCAUGCUACUUUAUACCUCCCUGCAACAUCCUCAUCCGGAAUGAGAACCCAGUGGUCGUUGUACUGAGCCAUCUUCAACUGCAGGCAGGCAAGUCCUGGUGGGUGGUAAAGUAAAAUUAAAGAAGGAUUUUGCAUCUCUAGCUCCACUGAGCUGCCACUUCAUUCCUGAGCUACCUACCCAAACCUUGAUGUCUUUUAUAACUGCUGCACUUUAAUGGCUUCUUGCUUCAAUAGCCUAACAUAUAUCUCAACUAAUCUAGAGCUAAAUGAUGAGGUAAUAAAUAGACAUUAAAAUGUUACAUUAUCAAUAACUUUCUUUGACCAGUGCCAGCAAUAUUAUACAUGAAAGUAUAAGUAUAUACACAUGUAUAUGUAUGUAUAGAUGACUACCCCAUUCUCUGAGAGAAUAUAUAUAGAAAGAGAA